UUCCAUUCCAUUCCAUUUUGGCUAAGUUCUAGUGUAGUAUCUGUUCUUAUCAGUUAAAUAUCUGAUACGUCCUCUAUCUAUUCCAUAUUCUAUUCCAU
rnacentral:snRNA from 1 species